rnacentral:rRNA from 1 species
UACGUAGGGCGCAAGCGUUAUCCGGAAUUAUUGGGCGUAAAGAGCUCGUAGGCGGUCUGUCACGUCGGCUGUGAAAACCCGAGGCUCAACCUCGGGCCUGCAGUCGAUACGGGCAGACUAGAGUUCGGUAGGGGAGACUGGAAUUCCUGGUGUAGCGGUGAAAUGCGCAGAUAUCAGGAGGAACACCGGUGGCGAAGGCGGGUCUCUGGGCCGAAACUGACGCUGAGGAGCGAAAGCGUGGGGAGCGAACAGG